UUUUAAAGCCUAGCCAUGAUAGCUUUUCUAAGCUAGCUUAUGUGCUUAAUAGUACCCCAUCUAAUAAAUGUGUAUUAGCUCAUUUAAUACUCUGACUUUACACACCUUAGGCGUUAUUUAUGUUUUUGAAAAACACAAACACAAAACAAAACACAAAACAAAACAAAAAAAAAACAGGGUCUCAUGUAGUACAGACCUGAAGUCACUAUGUACUAAAUUUGGCCUUGAAUUCUUGAUCCUCCUUGCCUCCACAUCCCAAGUGCUGAUAUUAAAGAAUGUUCCACCACACCCAGCUAUAUAGCUAUUAUUAAUAUGCUCAACUUUCCAGUUGAGUAGCCAAGGCCCGGUGAAAAUGGGCAAUUACUCUGGUGUGACUAGAAUGUUUAUGGAGGGACUAGGAAACUCCCAGAUCAUCCUGAGCCUGCAGAGACUACACAGUGGCUCCCACUUGGCUAUAUAACUAUAUCUUUGGACCUUAAGUGGCUGGUCAAGUUUGUCAGAAUAAGAACAAGCAGACAGAGGCUCUUUCCAUAGUAUAGGUGAAAGGUCACAGCUUUGGGCUUGGUGCGCUCUAUCACUGAAGAGCAACGGACACUCCCGGGUGGCAGAAUGGGGAAAUAUAUGUGGGAAUGAAUAGAUUUGAUAUAUUUAGUCUGAAAUAAAACACCUUGAAGGCACAUUUUUAUUAAUGUAGAAUUUUUAAAAAGAAACAAGAGGACUCAAGCUAUAUCACAGCACAAAAAGGAAGAUAAAGAGAACAAGGAGCGAAAUCACUAGGUAACCUUUGUCACUUUAACGCAGUAGAGAUAGCAAACGAGAAAGGAAAUAGUAUUUGAAAGUUUGUCACUUCUCUAGACCACUACCCAUAACUCCUUGCAGCAUUAGCUAAGCAGGCUGACACAGGGACAGUGACAGCAUGAGAUAAUGGGACUGGUCAGGAAUUUAUUGCCGUUAAGUGUGACGGGAGAGCUUCUGCCCUCCACCUGCCCUUCCCUUCCCUGCUUGCUGAAGUUUGAUCAGUCUUCAUGACCCUGCUCAGACCCCUGCCUGGGGUGGAAAAAUAAAGCCGUCAAUAUGAAUAUGUGAUGGCUUUGGUGCAAACUGACAGUUGACAGCAACCAACACUGGCCUUGUUGUGUGGCUUUUCUGCUCAGCCUUUGAACAAUGGGUUUCGGAAACGAUUCCCACCACAGAUGAUCCGUUUUGAAAAGCAGAUUUUGGUGCCUGAAGGCAUGUUUUUUUCAAAGUGUCUAGAAGCUUCUGUCAUGCUGGAUCACCAACAAGGCGAUGCAAAGCUACAAGGAAGCUUCUAUUACUAUUAGCAGUAUGAAAUAUUACGUUUUAGACAAAAUCUUCAAAUACAGCCGCUCUGUGACUACCUUUGAGUCUCUUGGGCAGGCAAAUGGCCUUGGUCAGAAGUACAGUGCCAUCAAGCUGCCAAAUUAAGCAAGCCAUCUGGGGAGCACCUGUGCCUGCACUCAGUGCACACCUAGGAAGCUCUAGGGUGAGAAGGUUGGGAAAGGCAGAACACAGCAGGUAAUCUUUGCCUGUGACGCCUUCUCUAUACCUCCCCUGUCCUGGGAGAAAUCUCGCCAGUGAUGGAGCAGGGCUUCCUGCAGCUGGUGGGACCUCCCUUCAGGAAUGAGUGUCUCUUGUAGACGGUGUCAGUGUCUAGAAGAGGAUGCGAGAGUGUCGGCAUAGCAAUGGUCAAAGGCGGGUGGGAAGCAGGGAAAGGCGGAGUUUAUCCAUGUGCUUUUGCCAGGUCAUGAUAAGUCUUUGAUGCACCAUGUUAGGGCCCCUUGGGUUCCUUCUUGCUUAGGUCGCUGUACUUCAUAAGGAAAGGAGGGAAAUUUCAGGGAAAGCAUUGAAGAGCAGAGAAGAUCAAACAUUAAUGUGUACACCAGGCCCAUCACUUUUCACCCAUUCAGCAUUCCUAAGUCAGACAGGCUGGGGCCUGGAGAUUGCAAUCAGCAAGGCACAGUCUCGAGGUGUUGUGGGACUCUGUUGCUGGGAAGAUGAUGGGAACAAACAAAACUACCAGUGUCCAACUUGGUGAGGCAAUGAGGGUUUUUUUUGGGAGUCACUAACAGAAGUGUGGGUGAGGGGUUACUUACAGGAGCAGGGAUGUCUCAAAAGCUGCUGCAUUGCUGAAAGCCGCCCCAACAUUGGUGACAGCCCAUGAAAGCUGCACAACUUUCAGGCAGCUCACCUGAUCUCUCUCUCUCCUCAGUAGACCUUACAGCUUAUGUAACCUGGAAAAGGGAAGGGCUUGGUGCAUCUGGUCAUUUCAGGGACUUCCUAAGGUUUCUGAGUUGUUUGCAUCCUGACUAUUAAAAAGCCUUCUCUCAGAAAUGUCCUGAGUCUUUCUCAGGAAACUCUAAGAACGUUCUAAGUCUUAAAGAGUCUCCUAGGAAAUGACUGCACAAUACAAGGAGUCUCUAGCCGGGAGCUGCAGAUGGAUAGACAGUCGUGUAUCUGAGUGUUGCAGGCAGUGGGCUGGACACUGCAGCUGGCAUGGAUUCCAUACUCAGCAAAGCAUACAUCACCAUCAUGCUCAUUGCUGGGAGAUGCCCAGGAAUCUUGGUUGGAACCAUGUCUGGUACGCAGGUUCUCUGAGACUCUGUUAAUGCAAGGGGAGCAACUGACUAAGAGAGUAAAUACAUUUUGAGCACAUGUCCAUGCAGGCACCUUUAAAAGGCUCAGUGGAAGCUUGUGUGACUGACCCUUGUCCAAGUCAAGAUGGGACAUCAGUACGAAAUGUUACUUACUGAAAAAAUCAACACGAGGGUUUCACUUUUCUAAGUGCUACGUGAAUGAAAGCGGAAGGCACUACAGGGAUUGGAGGGAGAGGUCAGUUCUGUGGAUUGGCAGGGAGAGCACAUUUUGUGUUCUUCUAGUCUAGCAUGGGGUUGAGAGUUUUAAACUGUAUUAGCCCUUUGUCCUCUUUGCUAUGGAAACAGCCCUUUCCCCAAAGGCCCAGCGUCUCUAGACACCAGCAUUCAGUCGAGUGUUGGUAAAUGUUCGACCAGAUUUCC
rnacentral:lncRNA from 1 species